rnacentral:rRNA from 1 species
CCCUUAGAUGUUCUGGGCUGCACGCGCGCUACACUGAUGCGCUCAACGAGUUUUAACCUUGCCUGGAAAGGUUGGGUAAUCUUUUUAAAACGCAUCGUGAUGGGGCUAGAUUAUUGCAAUUAUUAAUCUUCAACGAGGAAUGCCUAGUAAGCGUGAUUCAUCAAAUCGCGUUGAUUACGUCCCUGCCCUUUGUACACACCGCCCGUCGCUCCUACCGAUUGAAUGUGUUGGUGAGGAGCUCGGAUUGGCAGCAGUUGGUGGUUCGCCACCGGCUAUUGCUGAGAAGUCCUCCAAACCGCCCCAUUUAGAGGAAGGAGAAGUCGUAACA